CGGACUGUAGGCUGCAACUCGCCUACACGAAGUUGGAAUUGCUAGUAAUCGUGGAUCAGCAUACCACGGUGAAUACGUUCCCGGGGUCCUUGUACACACCGCCCGUCACACCAUGAGAGUUGGGAAUACCCGAAGCCUGUGAGCUAACUUUUAGAGGCAGCAGUCGAAGGUAGAAUCAAUGAUUGGGGUGAAGUCGUAACAAGGUAGC
rnacentral:rRNA from 1 species